AUGCCGAUCGCCUCCAAGCUCCUCUACUUCCAGCGCCGCCCCUCGCCGGCGCCGCCGGAGCCCCCCGACCCGCGCCGCCGGCCCUGCCGCGGGGCGAGCGCCUCCGCUCCCCGCCGCCAGCGCAGCUCGGCCGUCUCUCACCACCACCACCACCACCACCACCAUCAUCACAAGCCGGUUCAGGACCUUGUUCCAGCAAACCAAAGAGAUGGUGCUAAGCUUAUGGGAUGUGCUGGAAACAAACUAGAACAUAUAGGGGUCGCAUGCUCCAGCUCAAGGCUAAACCGCAGUGUGUCGGAUCAUGGACGGCUCCCUGAUGCUGUUCAACAGGCUAGGGAAAGGCUUCUUCAGAGGCUUAAUAGUGUGGACUUGUCAGGAAGGAGGGAAAACACUUCGUGCUCCGAAACCAUUUGGGCUGGAGUAGUAACUCAUCCUGCUGACAUUGGUGUCUCCAACUUGUCCGAUAGCGAACUUGGUAGCCUAACCAGUUACUUCCAAUCCAGUGUAUCCAUCACCACCUACAACGAAGUUCAAGAAACAUUCCCUGAGCCUUUCAGCACCGUGGAUAAGUGUAUGCCUGUCACCCCGUGCACCGAACCGAUCCCUGUGCUACAAGAAACGGCUUGCGAAGACGUGGAAGAAGGCGAAAACACCGGGCCUUCACUGGAGUGCUCGAUAUGCUUGGAGAGGUGCGGCGAGGCAGACGGGCUUAUGCAGCUGCGCUGCAAGCAUGUCUUCCACUCGGCGUGCCUGGAGCGGUGGCUUCGAUCCCACGGCGACUGCCCCUACUGCAGGGGCAGUGUGCUCCUGACGUCGGAUGAAUGA
rnacentral:rRNA from 1 species